rnacentral:rRNA from 1 species
UACGUAGGUUGCGAGCGUUGUCCGGAAUCACUGGGUGUAAAGCGCGUGUAGGCGGCCUGCCAAGUCUGCUGUGAAAGCGCCUGGCUUAACCGGGCGAGGUCGGUGGAAACUGGCGGGCUGGAGGACGGUAGAGGGGGGUGGAAUUCCUGGUGUAGCGGUGAAAUGCGCAGAUAUCAGGAGGAACACCGGUGGCGAAGGCGGGUCUCUGGGCCGAUACUGACGCUGAGGAGCGAAAGCGUGGGGAGCGAACAGG